ensembl:lncRNA
CUUUGAAAUGAACCUCAGCGCAUCGUUAACUGUCCCAAAAUAACCUAAUAAAGGAGCACAGAAACGGAGUUAAGUAACUUUGCUUUAUUCCCUCGGGGUAAUCCGCUCCUGUGAGACACAGUAGUGCACUGUAGAUAUGAUGCCAACUGCAGACUGUAAGAACUUAAUUAGCGCUGCUGCUGCUGUGGUGUCCAGGGGCUUUAGCUGAGAGACCGGAACAAGCAGCUGCACUUUAUUAAAAGGUCAGGGCCAUUAAAAUCAACCACAAAUAACUUGAGACAUUGGAGUUCAUCACGAGAGAACUGUUCUUUGCGAUGUGUGUAUUCAUCUGCAGACAGCAGUUUUGGCCUUUCCUCUGAAUUUGCUUUGCAGUUACCCGAUUCAAAUACGCGCUUCAUUUAGGCCCAAUCCCAUUUCACCCCUCGCCCCUACCACUUAGCCCUUAGCCCUCUGUUUUGCGCGUUCUCGUCUAGGGUCAGAGUGUCCCAAUUUGUGCUGAGAUAGAGGGGUAGGGCGAAGUGUUAGGGCUACAUGGCCCGGCAAACUGGUUUUUCAGAGGUUCACUCCAAACGGAAUGUAAAGAAAAGCCGGCAAGUUGGCUGCGCGAGCGACCAAAGAAACCCACAAAUAAGAAGCAUGAAGCCUCUGAUCAAGCGCUGAACUCUUCUGGGACUACAUUGCUCAUUUUCUCUCUUCAGAUCCUCAUCUACUACUAUUGUCUGUGGAAUCUGAAAAAUACUUCCUUGAAACACGCUUUACAAGCCAAGUAUUUGUAUUUCAUAAUCUGUGAAUUCAAGUACUCAUAUCUGGAUUAUGUUUAACACUUAAACAUGUGGAAUCUUGUUCAAUAAUAACCUGCAAACACAAUAAAUACUAACAUCAUUCUCAGUGCUAUGCAGCUUCAGCUACAUUCAUCCAGCCAUGGCUAAGUAGCAUCCAGACAGUUUUUGUACAAUCUACACACAAUGUUUGGCUUGGUACUUAUAAAUAUGAACAAAAAUGUGUUAUAAGCACAUGAAGGAAAAAAAACUAAAUUGAUAAAGGAAAAAGUAUUCAUCACAAAUGGAUAACACUAGUACUUUGUUGCACUGUUGACUGCAGCUUUGAGACAUAUAUGGAAAGAAUAAAUUGAUUUUGCAGCAAUGUGGUUCAAUUUUUGAUUUAAAAUUUCAA